UUUGUUGAUUCAGAGCUAGGCUGGUGUUGCUGACAUUGGCUCCUUCCUGAGAUGAGUGGAGAGCCUCACUGCCUCUGCCUCCUCCUCCUCCUCCUCCUCUUCCUCCUCCAUUGGUGAUUUCUCCUGUAGCCGAGGCUCCCCAUGAGAUUGCUGAGGAUCAUAUACAUUCCCUUCCCCUUUUCCUGGAAGACUUCUGCACUGUCAUAAAACCUAAUAUGAAUGUCAACCUAUGGGACUGGGCCCUGGUAUAUACAU
rnacentral:lncRNA from 11 species